GAGUGUUUGCGAGUACAACUCACUAACCAAUCCAAGCACAGAACGCGAAUAGGCGGGAGCCAAUCGUAAAGCAGUGGGGGCGGGACUUGUACGAAAAUAGGUGGAAAACAAAACAGCACUCAAGUUUACACUGCGCUGACAUUGCACGAAAGGCGAUCUGAGUGGCUACAGAGUGGGGAAAGUUUUUUUGCAAGUCUGAAUGGCGACCGAGAAGAAAUCCAUAACGCGUGCAUGACUGAUGUUUUUGACGAAAGAGCCGGUCUGUAGACUUUGUCUUAUUACAAAAGGUCAAGACACGUCGUAAAUAAAGAGCCUCAACGAUGAAAACGACGCGAACGAGUGAGGACAGAUUUUAUGUCUCGUAAGCAGCUACACAGCUAUUACACUGCUGGUAGUAGUAGAGAAAUGUGACUGGAACAUUAAACACCGCGGCUGAAGUGUUCGAAUUUUCCGUUCCACCUUAAAUUCCAUUCUGGCGCCUAUGUAAGUGCUGCACCAUUUAAGGUGGAACGGAAAACCCGAAUAACAAGCUAACUUCAGGUUUGUAAAUAUGCACAAAACGCUGCUAAUAAAAUGUUUUAAAUGGU